GUAUAGAACUACUACAUACCUUGUAUAACCUUGACGGGAUGGGUCAAGUCUCUCUAGCGUGAACCGAGAUUUACGGCUACAAGAGCUUAUUUAUGAUGC
rfam:Veillonella sp. DORA_B_18_19_23 Q621_VSBC00038, whole genome shotgun sequence.